AUCUCCCGUCUUUCGGCAGUAACAGCAGUAGGUCGUCUUGAUAAAAAAGCAAAUUACAUUCGACACAAAGCUUGAAUCCACUUUCAGUCACGAAUACAACACUAGCUCUAAACACAUCUGAAAUAUAGGCGCCCAUCAAAUGUACACUGAGGUGUUUCCUUGCUGCCCGGAUUUAGGAAUGUCACACAUGCAGCGCUGUCCCCGUUUGCCUUAUAAACGGAAAUCGACCGGCGUAUCGCAACAAGUGCGCGAGAAUGAAGGCGGCUCAGCCCUUCAGCCUCCAACCCGUGGAAUCGCGGCAUAGUUAUGCACGCCACUCACCUGAUGUCAUUUAAUAAAAGACUUCUGUGGAAGAUAGAUGGCACACUUCAACCAUCCUCAAACCCAGAAAAUGCGAAGGAGACCAUACAAUGAGGAGAUUUAUUAGGAAAUCAAUAACACGAAGGUGUUAACAAAGAAUAAUUCAAAGUUUAAAAUAAUAUUAGAUAAAAGUUGUUAUAUGCCACUUCACGUUUUCCAUAGGUGAACUCCAAUCCAGUUCUAGAAACACUCCAAGGAUAAUUAAAGCAAACAGGAUGCACCUAACUGCAAUCUGGAGUGCCAAAGCACUUACAGAGAUUGGAGGUUUUGAUUUUUACUGCAUUUGCAAACCUUUCACGCUUUCACAUUGAGUUACUGAGUGUGGACUGAUGGGCAAAAAUGGAAAAUUUAUCCAUGGAAACACAAUAAAGUGCUCAGAAAGUGAAGGGGUCUGAAUAUUUUCUGAAUGCACUGUAAUACAACCAGCCAGUCUGCUCUUUAGAAGUUACUGAGGAUCCAAGGAGACACAUUGUCAUUUAGCCUCCUCAAAAGAGUGAAAUGACUGUUAUCCUUCUCUGUUUGUUUGGCUGUCUGUGGUCCUCUGUUAAUUCAAGCCAGUUCAUUUGUGUAUAAAUACAAGUGUGCUGGUCUCAUGACUUCUUCCUCAUCCAUUUAUGUGUUAUUUAUUCCUUUUCCUGUCUUGUGGUCUAUCAUUUGUUACAUUUCCAGCAUCUCUCAGGACUUUAAAAGUUAGAGAUUGCUCUGUACACCGUAGGUGUGUUAUAGUGACAACUACAUGCCGCAGUCUGUUAGUCAUUUGACAAAAAUGCAAGCGUCACAAAAGGUUUUUUGGGUGGGAUCAAUAGUUUAUUGGAGUUUUACAGGAAAUAAUGAGCAAAAACAAUAAUCAGUAAAGUCAUAAGAGACAAUGAUAGCAAUUAACAGUAAAAAUGACUCUCAUAAUUUGUUAAUGUUAUUCACACAGAAAUUGCUCUUUUGUGAUGUUAACCAAAUGGCUUAAAUAUAUGCUGUUAUUAUACUAAAACUAUAAACUCAUGUGAGAACUCUGUGGCCUUAUCAAUGAAAAGCAUUGUUCAAAAACUAUGAAAUUAAUUGCAAAGAAUUAUUUGUAUUCACGGGUUCAUUUGCCUUUGAAUAUGCAGAGUGUUUAUCACAGGUCUGGGUUCUGAAACUGCAGGAUAAAAGGAUUUCCUUUUCUUUAAGUAACAACCAGACUCCAUCCUGUCUGCUGGGUGAUAAGAAUAAAAGGACCACACCCUCAUCCUCAUUGCGCUUGGAAAGAAAAAAGAAAAGUGCAGUGGCUUGCAAGCAGGUGUACGGAAGGUUAAAGAUUAGUGAAGCAUAUGGCUGAAAAAUGAGAAGGCAAACAAAUCAGACGUCAUUCUGCUUAGGGAGCCAAGGAUAGUCAUUUUAAAAAGGCUGAAGAAUGG